rnacentral:rRNA from 1 species
GUGAGGAAUAUUGGUCAAUGGGCGAGAGCCUGAACCAGCCAAGUCGCGUGAAGGAUGAAGGUUUUAUGAAUUGUAAACUUCUUUUGCAGGGGAAUAAAGUACGGUACGUGUACCGUUUUGUAUGUACUCUGCGAAUAAGGAUCGGCUAACUCCGUGCCAGCAGCCGCGGUAAUACGGAGGAUCCAAGCGUUAUCCGGAUUUAUUGGGUUUAAAGGGUGCGCAGGCGGGUUGAUAAGUCAGCGGUGAAAGUUUGCAGCUUAACUGUAAAAUUGCCGUUGAAACUGUCGAUCUUGAGUGCAAAUGAGGUAAGCGGAAUGUGUUGUGUAGCGGUGAAAUGCUUAGAUAUAACACAGAACACCGAUUGCGAAGGCAGCUUACUGGGAUGCAACUGACGCUCAUGCACGAAAGCGUGGGGAUCAAACAGGAUUAGAAACCCUAGUAGUCC